CAGUCGCCGCGGUAAAACGAAGGGUGCAAGCGUUAAUCGGAAUUACUGGGCGUAAAGCGUGCGUAGGCGGUUUGUUAAGUCUGUUGUGAAAUCCCCGGGCUCAACCUGGGAAUGGCAAUGGAUACUGGCAAGCUAGAGUGUGUCAGAGGAUGGUGGAAUUCCCGGUGUAGCGGUGAAAUGCGUAGAGAUCGGGAGGAACAUCAGUGGCGAAGGCGGCCAUCUGGGACAACACUGACGCUGAGGCACGAAAGCGUGGGGAGCAAACAGGAUUGGAUACCCCUGUAGUCCCUGUCUCUUAUAC
rnacentral:rRNA from 1 species